rnacentral:rRNA from 1 species
UACGUAGGGGGCAAGCGUUGUCCGGAUUCAUUGGGCGUAAAGAGCGUGUAGGCGGCCUGACAGGUCUGCUGUGAAAACUCGAGGCUCAACCUCGAGAUGUCGGCGGAAACCGUCUGGCUAGAGUCCGGAAGAGGAGAGUGGAAUUCCUGGUGUAGCGGUGAAAUGCGCAGAUAUCAGGAAGAACACCUAUGGCGAAGGCAGCUCUCUGGGACGGUACUGACGCUGAGACGCGAAAGCGUGGGGAGCGAACAGG